GCAGGGCAAGGUAGCAUGUGCCUAUAGUCCCAACUAACUCAGGAGGCUGAGGCAGGGGUAUUGCUUGAAUCCAAGAGUUCUGGGCACUAUGUUGAUUGGGUGUCUGCACUAAAUUUGACAUCAACAUCGUGACCUCAAGAGAGUGGGGGACCACCAGGUUGCGUAAGGAGUGGUGAACCAUCUCAGGAUGGAAAUGGAACAGGUCAAAACUCCUGUGCUCAUCUGUAGUGGAAUCAUGCCCGUGAAGAACCACUACACACUAGCCUGGGCAAUAUAAUGAUACCUUGUCUCUU
ensembl:misc_RNA Metazoa_SRP Metazoan signal recognition particle RNA